ensembl:lncRNA
GCGUGCUGACAAUCAAAGCUUGAUCUAGGUUCCAGAAGCAAAUCAAUAUAUCUGUAAUUUGACCAAAUGUAGAAACAAAAACACACAAAUCUAACAAAAGUUAGAACAUCUGAGAUGGAAAGACUGGUCUACAAGGACUGCUACAAGAUGUGGCCUCUAAUUAGUUAGAAACCUUAAAAAAAAAAACCUUGAAUAUCCAGACACAAUAUCUAGUAACCAAUAGAUGACCAGACUAAAUACUUAUUUGAUCAAGUAUUUAGGAUAUAAUGAUUACAAAUAACCAGGUAUAACAUAUAUAACCAGAUUGGAAACAGCAAUGUAUGACAUAAUUGAAUUGCAUUAACAGUUUCUUAUUGACCAUUGCUCUGAUUACAGAAAUCAGUUACAGGAGGAAAAAAUGCAGGGACAUAUUAACUAUAAGCCCAAGAAAUUUUACCUCCAAUAACAGAUCCCAUUAACCAAAGUUUCGUACAAAUCCUAAACAGAUAUUUACCAUAAUCUUAUGUUUAUACAAAUCAGUUUGUUCCUUUUAGCCACGGGUCCCUCAAAUUUUUUUAAAUAGGGGGCCAGUUUGCUGUCCCCUCAGACUGUUGGAGGGCCAGACUAUAGUAAGAACAAAAACUAUGAACAAAUUCCUAUGCUGCAUAUAUCUUAUUUUGAAGUGAAGAAACAAAACGGGAACAAAUACAAUAUUUAAAAUGAAGUAAAGUUAAAUCAACAAACUUACCAGUAUUUCAAUGGGAACUAUGGGCUUGCUUUUGGCUAAUGAGAUGGUCAAUGUCUGGUUCCAUAUUUGUCACUGCUAGUCCUAACAAGUGAUGCAAGUGUGCAUCCAUUAGUCUUGAUCUGGUUAGAGAUUUCAAAUGUUUCAUUCUAGAAAAAGUCUGUUCACAGACAUAAGUGCUGCCAAAGAUGGUUGCCAUUUUUGAGUGCAUGGUUCCUGAAAUGAGGAUAUAUAUCUCAGAGGGGAGAGAUGCAUAGAAAUUAUGAAGGCUGCUUGACUUGAAUGUGUCUUUCAGAGAGUCACAAUUCUGCAGUUCAGCCAGUUCCAUUUGGUAAAUUGUAUCCACAUUUUCAUUGUCAAUAGAAAAUGGGUUACAGAAAAGCUGUAUGUCCUGUUCAUGGAGAUGAAGCUCUUUAAAUCUAAAUUGGAACUCCUUUUGCAAUUUUUCCAGUGAAUCCACACAUGUUUUGUUUGGGAAUGCAAUCAGCGGUUUUUAUGCUAACAGAUUUUGAGUUCUGGGGAGAUGGCAGUUUUCCUCCUUCCCUUGUUUGAUGAGGAGGCCUUAUUUUACUUCAGAUGCUUUGACAUGUGAUUGCAUAUCACAGAUGAGCUUCCCCUUUUCUUGAAGUUGAUAUUGAAAUUGUUGAGUAGCUCUGUUACAUCUGUCAGAAAGGCAAGGUGCCAUUUCCAUUCUGCAUCAUGGCUCUGGUACUUCUUUGUUUUUUGAAAGCAGAAAAGUUGUAAUUUGUGGAACUAAGUCAUACAAAUGUUUCAAAACUCUCCCUUGACGCAGGCAAUGGACUUCUUUGUGAUAUAGAACAUCUUCAUACUCAACAUUUAGCUCAGACAGAAAUUCCUGAAAUUGUCUGUGAUUUAGUGCAUUAGCUCUAAUGAAGUUAACACAAGAUACCACAAUUUUCACAACAGAGUCCAACUUCAGUGAUUUACUACACAGCGCUUGUUGGUAGAUGAGGUAGUGUAUGGCUACUGGAUGAGAAUGGUUGUUUGUCCAUCUCUUGGGUAAUGCAAGCAAUUACUCCUUUCUUAGACCCCACCGUGCUAGGAGCACCAUCAGUUGUCACGCUGGCUAGUUUAGCCCAGUCCAGCUCCAAACCAUUCAUAGUUUGGCAAACCUUUUCAUAGAUAUCCUCUCCUGUAGUUAUUCCUUUGAUGCUUUGCAGUGCAGCAAGCUCUUCUAUGACUUCAAAAUAAUCAUUUGUCCCACAAAUAAAAAUUAGAAGUUGUGCAGAAUCACAAACAUUGUUGCUUUUGUCAAGUGCCAAGGAAAAAUAUGAAAUUUUUUUAAUGGAGUUUUGCAAAUGCUGAUGCAGUUUGUCUCCCAUUUCUUCAAUCCUCCAUGUAAUUGUAGGUCCUGAAAGACUCACUGUACUAAAUAAAUCGGCCUUCUCUGGACACAUCUUUUUGGCAACAGAAAGAAGGCAUUCUUUAACAAAUUCUCCCUCCACAAAUGGUCUGCCAGUAUGGGCUAUUAGCUUGGCAACUUGAAAACUUGCUCACAGUGAUGAAAUAUUUAGCUGCUUCUGCUUCACAAAAGUAUUUUGCUGAGUUGUCAAUGUAUUUUUCAGUUUUAAUAUUUUAUCUUUUCUCAUUUCUCCAACCAAACAAUCAUAUUUAUUUUUAUGUUGAGUUUCAUAGUGUCGAUGUAAAUUAUAUUCUUUGAACACAGACACUAUAUUCUGGCAUAUCAGACAUACAGCUCUUUCCUUGUACUACAUGAAAAAGUAAUCAUAAGUCCACUGUUCUUUGAAUACUCCAAGCCAAUUUUUCUUUUUCUUGACAUCAUUGUUUCUUAGGGUUCCAAAUUGCUAUUAGUAAAAUACCAAUAUAUGUAUAUAUAGCGCUACAAAAACAAUAUACCAGCAAACUUUGCCCACACAGAGACAUACACACUACAAUGCCCAACUUCCUCCAAGCUGCCUCUGCACUGUGAUGCCUCCAUUUCCCACACUCUCUCUCCUGCUCUUCACGUUCCCGCUUCCGACCUUCACUGCUGCAAUGAAUUCCCCCUGCAACGGCCGUGACAUGCGCAGCAUGCAUUGUACAUCCCCCACGCCUGUCUGUUGUGGUGGCUGCCAUUACUUUACAAGGCUGUGGGCCAUCAGUUCUCCAUCUUCUGCAUCUCUUUCCCUUCCCCACACCACACGCCCUGGCCUGGGAACUUACCUCACCUCGGUGUCGCCUCACACUCUGUCUCUGCCGCCUCAGCCCAGUACUGGAAGUGUUUGUUGCUAAUGUGAAUUUAGGUCAAACAUCACUUCCGGUCUGAUUUUGCCAUAACCUAGCAGGCCGCAUAAACAUCCUCAGUGGGCCACAUGUGGCCCACAAGCCGUAAUUUGAGGACCCCUGCUUUUAGCCAAGAACCAGGUGGCUACCACUUCAUAAAAAAACAAAAACAAAACAAAAACAAAAAACAAACAAACAAACAAAAAACGGCUGGAACACACUUUAGAGGGAGGGGAAAAGAGAGGAUUCCAUGUGGCUGCUCUUCCCCUCACUCCACCUCCAAAGAGGAAGGAGGGAAGGGAAGAUGAACUAACCUGCACCCCAGGCUAACUAGAUGCUCCCUACCUGAAGUAGCAGAGAGCACUAGGGAGGAGGGAGGAGAGGAAGAUUCCAUAAAAUCCACAUGUACAGCAGAGCAGGAUUUAAAGCAUAAUUUACAAUGUUAUAGGUAACAAACUCUGAACCAAACUAAAUACAGCUUUAAAUUCCCAAUAAUAUAAAACUGCUUUUCCUAUCAUAUUUCAAAUAAUGAAUUUCACUGUGAUGACCGUGCUAGCACCCAGGACACCCCAGAAUCAGCCGGAGUCAGAAUAAGCAAAAGUCCUUAGUCUUUAUUCUUGGUCUUUAGACGCAGGAUUGAAUAGGAUGGAAGCAGAAUCUCUGAGACUGCCUUCUCCCUUGUCUACCGCCAAAGUGACUCUGGCCAGUCUUACUCCACCCCCAAAUCCCUCCUACAAUCCUCUAUAUACACCAAUCAUUGAGCCAGCACAAGAUAGUGGGAAGGACCAUUUUUCAAGCAUAUGCUCAUAGAGUAUUGUCCAAUCAGCCCUAAGUGCUUGAACUAACCUCAGUGCAACGACUCAAGAGUUUUAGCCCUCUACGUUUCACUAAACAGCAUAGUUUUUCUUUCUCUCCCUCUGGCCCUACAUAGCCAUUAUUCCCAAUGGACUUCUAAAUUCCAAUUUUUGCCAGAGUUGAAGCCUUUAGAAAAAUCAGACCUUUCUUUAUCUAAUUUCAGGCAAGUUAACAGAACUUCACUUUAACAAACUAUUGUUCUUAUUGAUCUUAUCCUUAAAGAUAACUAAAUCUAGCCUGCAUAGGCUACAGUAAAAUUAUUUCCCACAAUUUAAAAACUGCCCAAAAGAAUACUCAGAACAAAUCUGGCAUGCAAAGGCAAUAGUAAAAUUAUUUCCCACAAUUUUGAAAUCAUCCUGAAAUUCCUAAUCAAAUGUAUUCUCCUGUCUGAGUUUCAGUCAGAUAAGGUUUUAUUACCCUUUACUCUAGCAGGCUCUGAAAACCUGCUCCAAGGGAAAAACGUUUGCCUUUUUGUUCCUUUUACUCAGAUUAGUACAAGUUAAAAAGUUUAAAAUCACAAGCAAAUUUUUAUACUACACACAGUUGCAACAUUGAAAUAACCAAUCCCCAAAUUUCUUAAUCAUUGUUUUUAAACUUAACAGCGCUCUUAAAUUAACAAAACAGACAAGUCACACAGAACACAGAACACACAGACAUAGACUGUGCAGUCAAAACAUUUAACACAGAGACCAGGGGCCAUCUGGAAACCUUAGAAUAGCCCUGAGGAAAGUUGUCAGCUUGAGAGUCUUCCCUCCCAGAAUCCAAAUGGAGAUUUUUUUUUUUUCAAGCCCCAGUUUGGUACAUUUCUCUGCCUUCACAGAGAAUGCCCAGAUUAAAACCAGGAUACCAAAAGGUACUCAGAACCAGAUAAUACCCAAAAGUUUGGUACCAGAUAAUUCCAAAAGGUACUCAGAUACCCAAAGUACUCUGGUACUCUGAAAUACCAAAGGGUAUUUCAGAACCAGAUAAUGCCACAUAGCAUCCUACUGGCAUUUUCCAGACUUGUAUGGCUCAUCAGCCCAACUUUUUCUGGGGACCAGAUUUGCUAACAAUCAGAUCAGACAGAAAACUUACCCUGCAGGGAUUUGAAACCAGAUUCUCCCAUGGCCAAAGGGAGGUGUCCCACCGUCAGGCAUCAGGCACAGUUGUGGCUGAAAACUGCUCUUUCCCAGAGGCUCUGGAAAAAAAUCCAGAGGGCCAGACUCUCUAAGCAAAGAACCCAGAUCCCCAGCCACCCUGAGACCCAAGAUGGAUCCCCAAGUGUCUCUAUUCUCUAAUCCUGCUCUCAUUUUUUAAUAUCUCAGUUGAAAGCCUCUAAAAUGUAAUGCCAGAGAAACUCAUGCAGGAUAGAGAUUAGAGAACAAUUUAAUAUUUUAUUUGAAAGGGAGAGAUUUACUGGGUCCAAAUAGAUCCAUGGUUUGGUCACAGGACUGAAUGAGACUAUUGUCUCCAAGAAUCCAGCAGUGAAUGUAGGAUACAAGAUUCUUUUAUAGGGUAAUAAGAAUGAUGACAAAAUGAGGGAAGUAACUGGAUGGGGAUGACCUAAUGUGGGGAAGCAUUUAGGAUGACAUAAUGGAGGGAGGUACUGGAGAGUCUCCUGAUAUUCUAAUGAUGUCUAAGAUACAAGACCUUUAUCCUAUCAAAACAUUAAGAGGGAAUGAUUAUAGCCUGAGGCAGAGUAACUGAGUAGGACAAUUAGGGAAACUGGGUCAGGACAUUAAAAAAGAACUGUGGCAUAAUUCAGUCAUCUUUGUUGUCUCUAUUUGGAGUUCUCUUGGCAAAGAUACUGGAGUGAUUUGCCAUUUCCUUCUCAAGUUUAUUUUACAGAUGAAGAAAUGAAGGGGAAUGGGGCUAAGUAAUUCACCCUGGAUGACAAGCUAGUAAGUAUCUGAUACCAGAUUUGAACUUUAGAAGAUGAGUUUUCCUGACUCAAGCCCCAAGUUCUGUCCACCUUGCCACCUAACAAUCCUAAGCUUAGUAAGAUUUCCCAGAAAUUAACAGAUAAGGGAAUUAUAUCAUCAAGGCAAUGGAUAACUACAAUAUUUAAAGGCAAGGGAUGGUGUGACGUUCAAAUGAGAUAAUGGAUAUAAAAUACUUGUCAAUGCAAUGAUUUUUUUUUUUUAUCAUUAAUGUUAUCAUUAGUAUGCAGGGAUUUGAUAUCUAGUCUGAUGAUGAUUUAUUCUCAGGUCUUCUAUUUCAAUCUUUCUGAGACCAAAGCAGUGUUAUGUAAUGACACACAGGUAUGCUAGUAAAUUUUUAACAACUGAGCAUGAAAAAAAAAAGAAAAAAAUAAACAUUUACCCUUCUAAGUUUAAUCUGCAUUAUUAAUGCUGUCUUAAGACUAGAUAGUCAACAAAAUAAUAAAUCAAGCCUUGAUUCGUAGUGCUUACUGAUUUCUGGGAUAUAAAAUGCUCAGACUGAAAAUUUUAACAAUGGACUCUCAGCAAGCCAUAGUCUCUGUUAAAGUUAGUCUCCAGUCUAACUCUGCCUAUCGCCAGCUUGAAGUUUUAAGAUCAUUGAGAUUAGGAACAUAUUUUUUUUUUAAUUAAGGUGUCUGAAAUCUUAAUUAGCACUAGUUUAAAAAAACUUACUACUUAGCAAACAGUAGGAGGCUAAAUUAAUUGAAAUAUGAAUAAUAGAACCUUGUAAUAUGAGUUUAAGGAAUGAUUAUGAUUAAGGAAGAUCAUGUAAAGGCCUUUGUAUUACCACCAUCAUUUAAAACAUGUUUGAAAUAGCCUAGAUAGGUCCUAUACUUACAUUUCAAGUCAUUGAAAAUUUUUUACCUUUCUCCUACUAGAACCUAGUAUCUACCAUAAUUCAUAGGACUAAAGAAGAUGCCAACCUGGGAGCAGUGAAUUAAUCUAGGAACUAGGAUUGAUCCAUGACAAAAGAAACCACAAAAUAGCUAGUUGGAAAAAUUUGGAAUUAGACAAAGUUCUCAUAGAUUGUGGUUCAGCCCAUUCAAUAAACUGAAUUUUCAGAGGCACUUUUGGCAAAAUGGCUGAAUAAGAGAUUGUUUCAAGCCCAUCUUACCUCUAUCUCAAAAAAAGCAAUAGGUUUACUGAAUAGACUAAAGAAAAAAUAACAUAGCAAAAGUAAUAGAGAACUGAGUAUGAAAGGGCAGGAGGGGGAAAAGGGAAACAAAGAGGAAAAUUGAGUAAACAAAUGAGAAAAGAUCCAAAAAAAUGAAUGUGUUGGCAUGAUGGAAAUUGAAUUGAAACUCCGUAAGGAGAAAAGUAUUGUUUUAUGAAAUCCCCAGAAAUACUCCUUUAUACAGAUAAUAAAGAACUAGCAAACAUGAAAUCUCUGGAUGAAAAAUUAGAUUCCUAGAAGAGGAGAUAAGAAAAGUAAGAAAAAAUACUUAGAAAGGUAUGCUUUAAAUGAAUGUGAAGAAAAGAAAGAAUUCUAUUUUCUACUAUCUGGACUAUGAAAGAAAAAACAGUAAACUUAAAAGAGGAAUACUACCUGGAUCUUCCAUAUCUACUUCAGCAAAAACCUAAAUUUUACCCCCAGAUCAAAUAACAAUAAAAUGAGAAAUUAUAGUAAAUGGCCUCUUCCAAAACAAAACAAUACCAAAACAGAUUCAGAAGACCCAAAAUAAUAGGAUGGAGCAGCACUGGCAGAACUAGUAGCCUCUAAAAUGAGAUGAGACAUUUGAUUUGAAGGAUAGCAUCAGGAGGCAAAAGAUUGAAAAGUAUAAGCUUUUUGAAAUCAAACCACUGACCUAGAAAAUGUCAAAGAAUUAAGAAUAGUUAAAAUAAACUCCCUGAAAACUAUGAUUAAAAGAAAAAAGCCUAGAUUGUAUAUUUCAAUCAUGAAUGAAAGUUAUAUCUAUUAGAACAGGAGAACACAGUAAAUAUACUAUUCACCUCCCUAAAGAAACUUGGAAGAACACUUCUCAAGAAUAUCACAGCCGAAAUCCUCCCACAAAAAUCAAAAUACCAAACUUAGAAUCAUAUAUCACACGGCAGGUACUUCUGCAAAUAAGAGGAUCUUGAAACAUAAUCUUUUUGGGUUUUUUUAAAAUAUUUUUUCCCAAAUUUUCCAUGCAAAAAUAGCUUUCAUUCACUUUUGCAAAACCUUGUUUCAUAUUUUUCUCACCCUCUCCUCUCCUUUCCCCUCUCUAAGACAAUAAACAAUUCAAUAUAGGUUAAACACAUACAAUUCUUCGAAUCAUCUUUCCAUAUUCAUCAUGCAGCAGAAGGAAAAUCAAAUCAAAAGGGGAAAAAACAUGAGAAAAAAAAAAGGUGAAAAUACUAUAUGCUUUGAUCCACAUUCAGUUUCCAUAAUUCUUUCCCUGGAUGCAGAUGGCCCUUUCCAACACGAGUCCCUUCAAAAUGCCUUGAAUUACCUCAUUGUUGAAAGGAGCCAAGUUCAUCAUAGGUGAUCAUUACAUAAUCUUGUUACUAUAUACAAUGUUCUCUUGGUGAAACAUAAUAUUCUGAAAAGUAAAAGAUUUAGAGCUUAAAACCAAGAAAAUUUGUUCUGCAAAAUGUGAUCUCAUAGAAAAUAGAUCUUUAACUGAAGACCUUUAAAUUUCAAGCAAGGAAAUAAUUUCAGAGAACCUAUGGUAGUAUGAGCUAAUAGAGUGAACAAAAACAAAAACAAUAGUUUCAAAAAAAACCUUUGAAAUACAAACAGGGCCCAGAAAAAGAAGGUAAGAAUGGAGCCUGGCAAUGGUUUGAGAAAGCAAUCUAUAGGUGGUAGGUGAUUCAGGGGACUUGAAGAUUUCAUACUUUAACCACAAUGCCUGAAUAAAGUGGCAAGCAAAAAAGAAAAUUUAAAUGUCCCUUUGCUACAUUGAAGAUAAGAAAAAAGGAAUGGAAUUCAAUGGAGGAAGGAAAUAUAUACUAGAUUACCUUAGUUAUUAAAAGCAGCUUUCAUAACAUGAAAAAUUAAAUAAUUCAAUAUUCUCCAAAAAUUUUUCACUGAGACUUAUGUGCCAUUAAGAAAUCAGAGGAGAGAGAAUAUGGAAAGAAGAGUAAACAGAAAAUUCCCAGUUGUCUGACUGGACAUAGUCUUGACACAGUGAAAGCUAAAGCUCACACACCAUUGAUAUAUUUGCAUAAAGAAUAGUUAUAUCAAGGGAGUAGAGUGUGUGACUGAAACUCUUCUCUGCAAAAAUCAGAAAUCAGUAGAACUUUAUAAGAGCCAUAUUGUUUCUAAAUGUUUCUAUAAUGACCACGCUAGCACCCAGGACACCCCAGAAUAAGCUGGAGUCAGGAUAAACAAAAGUCCUCAGUCUUUAUUCUUGGUCCCCAGACACAGGAUUGAACAGGAUGGAAGCAGAAUCUCCACAACUGCCUUCUCCCUCGUCUACCGCCAAGAAUGUGACCCUGGCUAGUCUUACUUACUCCACCCCCUAGUCCCUCCUACAAUCCUCUGUAUACACCAAUCAUUGACCCAGUACGGAUAGUGGAAAGGACCAUUUUCCAAGUAUAUGCCCAUAGAAUAUUGUCCAAUCAGUAGUUAGCCUCAAGUGCUCAGCAGUCCUGACCUCAGUGCAUCAACCCAAUAGUUUCAGCCCUCUACAUGUUUCACAGUAGCAAAGCACUUUACCCUUAUCCUUCCAGAUGCAACUUUGAGCCCAUCUUAAUAGAAGACAUCAUUUAUCUCUUAUUCAAGACUGGGAACAUAGAGAUCUUUCCAAGUAUAAACCAAUUACAUGUGCCUAUUAUACGUAAUAUUUGCAAGAAAAUUAUGAAUGGAAGAACAAGCUGAAGAACAAAAACAAUGUACCCAAAAUCCCAGAUAUAAAUACCAUUUUGUUAUCCAUUCAGAAAUGAUUGAAUAACCUUCCCAAAGUACAAUAAGUUGGUUUGAUCCAAAAUCAAAAUCUUUAACUUGUGACUUGUUCAUAUACAUUUGUAUCUUUAUAUGCAAAGAUAGAAAAUGGAUCCAAAUACAAUGAGAACCCUAAAGCAAAAGUAUCAAAAAAAAAAAAGUAUCAAAAAGCUGCUGUAACUUCCUAAGGGCCCUCAGAAUGAUAGAGUAUCAGGAAUCAGGUUGAAAUGUAAUUGGGAAAUUUAUAAAAUAAAAAUACAACAUAAUGUUAGUUUGUAAUUUUUUGAGUCAAUUACUAGGUUGAGUUUUGACACCAUUAUCCCAGGGUAUUUGAUGCCCUCAGGAAAAAUCAUUUCUUUUAAAACAUGGCAACUUCCAACAAUAACAAUUCACACAAAAUGGGGCACUUUUUUUUUUUUUUUAAUGAGGAAACCAGUACAUCAUGAACUAAUUAUAAAUCCAUUAUCUGCUCCUUUAAAUAGAACUAAACAUGAAUUUAAAGUUAAAGAGGUAAUUAAUUCUUGCAUAUGGAGGUCAUCAAGCUAUCUUCUAUAAAAUAUAGUAAUCAGCUUCCUUGUUACAUGGAAUCCCUCCAAUGAUAUAAACAGGACAUGUGGACUUGAUGAGUGAGACAUUCUUAAUGUACAGCACUUAUAAAAAGGGUGAUGGUGAUAUUUAUAUAACACUUAAAAGUUUGGUAAAUCACUAUAAAUGAGUUUCAUGGAGAGAUCGACUAAUGUUCUUGAGUUUGAAUCUCGAGCUCCAGUUGAACAGGUGGAUAAAGGUAAUAUCCACAAAUAUCAUCCCAUGCAAGAUAUAUUGAAUUUAAAGUUAAAAUUUCAAGUUCCUUGAAAGCUCAAGGAAAAGACUUUGGCUGAAUACAUUCAAGAGACAUAUUGGCUUACUGAAAUAAAAACUUAAUGGAAUGAAUAUGCUAAAGUAAUAAACAUCUAUAGUCUACUAGUCUUUGAAAUAUUUCAGAAUUGUAAGAUAGACCAAAUAUAAUAGAUUUGGGGAAAACAUCUUAAUAAAAGCCUAUACAAUAUUAACAACUCAGAGAUCACUUUAAAGACAAUUAUAACAAGAUUUUACAUUUUCAUGUUAAAAAAAAAAAAAGACAGUAAAGGUAAAAGCUAAAAGUUUAUAAGAACAUAUGAAAUAUGGGUCAAAAACCUACAGAAAUACUUUUAAAAAUACGUAGACAUCACUUCAAGAAAUAAAGACUGAUAAUAGGAAUGACACUGUAUUUAUCUAAUGAAGAGGCUCCAACAUAAGGCCCUCUGGCCACCUAAAACACUCCUGUGUGACCAGAACUAGAUUUAAGUGUAAUUGGGAAAUAUUCCAACAAAAUAAAAAUACAACAAGGCAGAGAUAUUACAUUUAAACCUUAAGUAUGGAUUAGUGUUAUCCAGUUUGUUUUGACACCAGUCUAAUAUAAGACUAAUAUAACUAAUAAGCUACUCAAGUAGCUUACCUCUAGCUAUAGCAUAUGAAACAACUUAUGAUCCAAGAAUGGAAAUCAAACUCUCCAUGGGUGAUAAUUCAAGUGAAGGAAAUAUCAACCCAGAAACAGUGAACAAAUGACUUAAUCAUGUGGAUUUGACAGAAACAGGUUUUCCAUGGUAACUAAGGGCCAAAUUAUUACCACCAGAAACUAUAGAAGGAUAAUCAUUAAGAGUCCAUAUUAACAAUCAAAGAUCAUUCAAAGGAAGUUAGUAACACUUUUAUAUAUCAUUUCAGAGUGUAAAAACUUAGUAUCUACCCAAGGCCUAGUAAUACAUGACUUGAUGGUUUGAAUUAGAUAUUAGGAGCUUUCUAUUUUUAAUGAAAUAAAGUCAAAUCCUCAUGCUACAAAUAUAGAAUUCAAAAUGUCCUUGAAACCUUAAUAUCCUGAAUGAGAAGUAGAGAAUCACCACAAACCAAAUUGUUUACAAUCACCUCUACAGAACAUUGGUAUUUAAAACAUUUUUAAUAGAUGUCUUCAUAGAUCUAUAUUAUACCAAGGAAAGAAAUGUAUAAUCCCUUCGGGGCAUCCAACAUUGUGGAUAUACAAAGGGACAUAUUUCCAGUGCAUUAGAAUAUACUGCCCUAUGUAUAAGAAUAUACUGUCUUAAUGAAAGAAAAGUGGUAAAUGUAAUAUAAAAUGUGAAUGUACAGAGGAGGUCUGUUCCUCAGAAUACAGAGUGCUUUCCAACAUACCUGGCCACCUCUUUCAUGAGUUAAAUGAGGAUAAUGGUAAGAAUAUCUUUUCUUAGAAAACAAAAGUAAAAACAAAAUGGGGUGAGAAGUGAGAAUUUUGAUUUUUCUUAAAGAAUAGAUAUUUUAUUUUUCACAAUCACUGUAAGGAACAUAUGAUUUAAAAUGUGUGUGUGUGUGUGUGUGUGUGUGUGUGUGUGAGAGAGAGAGAGAGAGAGAGAGAGAGAGAAUAGAACACAAGAUUUCAGAAUAGACCAAAAGGGGGAACGAAUAAGAGACAAUGAAAUUGAUACUUCUUUGCCUUUGAACGAGAUACCACAAAUAUGCCAAGUUAUGUUGACAAACAUUUAUUAAGCACUAUGUGCCAGGCACUAUGCUAAUAACAAAUGUGUGUUAUUCAAAAUAAGUAGAUGGGGAGAAUGGACAACAAGAAAUAUUCUGAACCAUCUACUAUCUGGGCAGAGAGAAGGAAAAGUAAGGAAAGAUAAUUUUAGAAACUCAAAAAGAAAUUGAUAUAAAGUAUAGAAAAGUGAAUUAAAGAAAGGAUUGAAUGAAAGGGAGUGAUCAAUUUUGCACAAACUACACUGAAUGGUCAUAUGCCCUGAGAGAAUCAUGGAAGACUUUUCACCUAGGAUAGCUGGUUUCUUAAAUUAUGUGAAGAAGAUAAGUUAUAAUUCUAUGUCCUGGAUCUUUCUCAAGGAGAGCACCAUAUGACCUGGGAAGCUCCAAGAUAGGAAAUUUAUUUUUCUUGGCUUUUUCUUUUCUUUAUUGUCUUUGAGUUACAGAAGUCCUCUGAGAGCUCCAAGUCAGACAUUGAUUAACAAACAAAGAGUAAUCUCUGUUAAACUUUCUAAAACAUUCUUGGGCACACUCCAUUGGGUCACUGAGAUGAGGAUUGGACAUGGUGUGAAGUAAUAUGCAUCUGGAAAAGAACUUGGUAGGAACGGUAUUAUAUUCAAAUUGGGCUAAGAAUGAAACCACUAUCCUUUAAAAAGCCAAAAUAGGAUAAAGGAGAGCUUAGCCUAAACUUUUGAAGGGAAAAAUUAGUGGAUGUGUUAAUUACCUUCAAUACAAAUGCUUCUUUGUAAAAGGUAAUUGUUAAGUAAUUAAAUGAAACUGAGGCGCUAGUUAGUUAUUGGCAGCUGACAGUGGUGGGAAACACCACCAGUAGAUGUUUAAUUACAGAUGACUUUAGGGUACAUUUAAAACCCUGAGAAUGAGAUAUAGCUAACUGACUUCUCUCUAGGAGAGGGAGGCCAGAACACAUUUGGUACAUUUAAAAUUAUAUUAAAUAUGAAUGACUUAUAUUAAUAAAAUGAAAGAAAAUUAUGGAAUGGAUGAAAUUGAAACUCAACAAUUUGCUGCAUACAAUAAACACAUUAAAAAAGAAAACAUUCAUAUUGAAAUGGUGCACUAAAGCAAAAUUUACUGUGUGUUAACAGUUCCAAAAAGCAGAAGCUAUAAUCAUGAUUUCAGAUUCAAUGGUUACAAAAAUCCUUUGUAGAAAGAUAAAGUACAUUAUCCAUAAAGUUACCAUAAAUAAGAAAAUAUUAUUAAAUGUGAUGGCAUAGAAUCUAAAUAUAUAAAAGAAAAUCUAAGUAAUUACAAAAUAAUUUUAGAGCAUGUUCUAAUUUCAGAGCUAGACAAGACUUUACAAUAGAGAUAAAAUGGCAGGAAAUCACAGAGUUGAAUAAGACAGUCUAAGAAUCAAUUAGAUUUAUGACAUCUCUCUAGGAAUAUUGUGUAGUAUGUGUACACAUGUAUGUGUAUGUGUAUGUGUGUGUGUCUUCUGGCAUACCUUUACAAAAACCGAAUCACAUACCAGGCACAAAAACAUAAAUGAUAAAAGACAUCCUAUACAGACCACAAUGUAAUAAUGGUACAAGCAGAAGAGAAAGACACAAAUUGAGACUUAAGGAAAAAAUUAUAAAGACAGAAAAUAUAGGAUAUUCUAAAAGUCUUAGUGCAGUUUAAAGAUCACUAUAUGUGUAAGAGAAAGAUAACAAUGAAUGAUAUAUCCAAAUUGCAGAUAAGGUGGACAUUGGUCAAAUCUUUGGACAUUUUAAAAGAGGGAGAAGAUAAAAUUACAGAUAAAAUUUUAAAGAAAUUAGGCUGUAGACUAUGGCACAGUCAGAAAGUCCAUGCACUUGGGAAUCUGGGGAUACUGCAGUUCAGUAGCACCUGCCAUGAAAGGAGCUAGAAAAUAUUUUCUUCAUUGCUUGAACAAUAGUCUUUACAGUGGUAAUAUAGCCCUUGACAUCCCCAUGAGCAUAUCAAAAGCAAUAGAAAAAGGGAUAUGCCUCCUCAGAAUGAGUUCUUCAUUCUGUGCAGACACUUGAUACUUGCCAGAGUGUCAUCUCUAAGAAAAGGAUAGAUCUAGGUGCUUGUCCAAAUAAAAAUGGGAACUGUAUUCUUAGGCAUCCUUGACUUUUGUAUUUUACAACUGUAUCUUUAUAGGCUGUAAACCUACUUUUAUAUCACUUCCUUGUGUGGGGCCAGUCACUUAUAUAACUCCAAUCUCUAGUUAAGAAUAAGUGUUACCAGACUAAUAAUAAUUCUUAGGAAAGAUUUUAGAUAUGAAAAUAUAUGGUAACAAAAUAGAAAUGAAUUGUGUGUGUUUGAAAACUUAGGAAACCAGCAAAUUAACCUCAAAAAAAGUCUAAAAAAGUAUUGAGAAUUUUAGGCACUCUAACAAUGAAAGGCAUAUAUAUCAUUCACACAAAAGAAGAAAAUCACAUGAUUAUAUGCAUUAUAGAUAAUGAAAUUUGAUAGUAAAUAUGGUCAAAAAUAUAGUAAAUAUUUACAAAAAUACUUAAAAGUAAAAGUAAAUUGAAUACAAGAAGACCUCAAACUUAAAAUAAUUGUGGAAGACCUGACUGUACCUCUUUCAGACCUAGAAAAUACACCAUAGAGUCAUUAAAAAAUUGUAGUUAUAAACAAAAUGUUGGGGGGGGAAAACUAGAUGUAAUUUUUGAAGUAAAAAGUCUGAGUUCAAAUUUCAAUUCUGUAUAUUUUAAAAUUAAUUAAAAUUUUAAAUUUUAAUUUAAUUGCUAGCUUUGUGACCAUGGUCAAGACACCUUUUUUUUUUUUUUUUUUUUUUUUUGUGCCUUGGUUUGUUGUUUAGUCAUUUCAGUUGUGUCUUGAGUCUUUAUAAUAACCCCAUGUGGGCUUUCUUGGCAAAGAUUUUAGAGUGAUUUGCCAUUUUCUUCUCCAGCUUAUUUUACAGAUGAGGAGACUGAGGCAAACAGGAUGAAAUUCCUUCCCCAGGAUCAUACAAAUAAAAGUGUGUUAAGGUCAGAUUUUAAUUCACAAAGGGGAGUCUUUCUUGACUCCAAGCUUGGAACUCUAUACACUGCACCACCUUGUUCAUGCCCUGUUUUCAUCAUCCAUAAAAUAAGGCUAGUGAUUGAAUUACCAAUGUUGUUGUCUUUGUCGUGAGGCUCCAGUAGGACAUUAUUACGUGAAUUAGAAACUUUUUUAAAACGUGAAAUCAGCCAGUUAUCAUCUACAAAUGUAAGGGGUUUUUUUAAUUGUAUGUUAUUUCAUAUAAAAGUUUUCUAGACUUAAUUUGUGUUCUUUAUUCUGGUACAUUUUAGUUACAUUAAUAGUAUUCCAUUAUAUCGGCAUGCCAUAAUUUAUUUAGUUGUGUCUCUAUAGCUAGUGAUGGAAUUUUAGGUUACUUCUCUUUUUUCUUUAAUUAAAUAUAAUGUCAGUGUUAAUCUUGAAAACAGUUGCUGUUGCUGUUGGGUCCUUUCCCAAUAAGAGGGAAAUAUCGGUAGGAUUGUUUUUUAUAAUUUUUACUUUUUAAUGGAAGAUUGCUCUCUAGAAAUUCUAAUCUCACAUUCAAUGAACUGAGUGUACAAAUUUCUUCAAAACUUUUCCAAUAGUAAUUUUAAAUUAAUUGUACAGGGGGCAGCUAAAUGGUCCAGUCGAUAAAGCAACAGCCCUGAAGUAAAGAGGAUAUGAGUUCACAGAUUCAGCCUCACUUAACACUAGCUGUGUGACCUUGGACAAAUCACUUAACCCCAAAUGCCUUACCAAAAAUUAAUUAAAUGUGCAAGUUUGAUGAAUAUGAAAGUGAUACAUCUAAAAUUUAUUUUUAAUAUCAUUGAUUAUUAGUGAGAUUGGAAAUUUUCAAGUUCUUAAUAACUUGUGUGUUUCUUCUUUGAAAAUUGUUCACCUCCUCUGUUUAUCAUCAUUAAUUGAAAAUUUAUGUUUAUUUAUUUUAGAUAUUAAACUUUAUCUGGCAUAUUUGGCAAAAAAUGUUAUUUUUACUUUUGUGUAUAGGUUUAAAAUUAAUAUAAUGAAAACAGUUUAAUACUUUUUUUUUCAAUAAUUCUUUUUAUUUGUAUAAUUACAAAAAAAUUUACCCUUCUCCACAACUGAUAUUUUAAAUGUCAUUCUCUUUCUAACUCUUCAUGAGUGCAUGUAUCUGGUGGUUUAGUUAGGUUUAAAUCUCUUUGUUGUUAGUAGUUUUUCAAUCAUGUCUGAAUCUUUAUGACCCCAUUUGGGGUUUUCUUGGCAAUGAUACUAGAGUGAUUUGUUAUUUCCUUCUCUAGCCCGCUUUGCAGAUAAGAAAACUGAAGCAAAUGGGUUAGUGACUUGCCCAAGGUCACAUGCCUAGUAAGUUUCUGAAGUCAGAUUUAAAUUCAAGAAGAUGAGUCUUCCUGACUCCAGGUUUGUUACUCUUAACCAUUUUGCCACAUCGUUGCACUUAAAUUUCUUAUCCAGCUAGAAUUUACAAGAGUAUAUGGUAUUAAGAUUCCAAAUUAUUUUUCUGCCAAAUUACCAAAUUUUAAAAUGUACAUUUGUUAGAUAAUGAAUCCUUUUCUCAAUUCUUAUAUUCUAAAAGUGUGUCACAUAUAAAACUCAUAUAUAUUUGGUAUGUCUAGCAUAAUCAUUUCUGUUUCUACCCUGUUUAUUUUUGCCCAUUCGCUGAUACUUUGGAUGGUAACUACUUUGUCAUAUGUUUUAAUUUUCGGGAAAUACAAGAUCCCUUUCAUCAAGUCAAGCCAACAAGAAUUUAUUAAAUGUCAAUUAAAGGCCAGGAAGUAUGUGCUAAGUACUGAUGAUACCAAUAAAGACAAAAAAAAUUUCUGCCUUCAAGAAGCUCACAUUCUAAUAGACCACAUGCAAACAACUGUCUUUGUAUUACAUAUAGAUAAAAGAUGCAAAUAUCCAUAUUAUCUAUAUGUCUCUAGGAUAAAUUGGAGGUAAUCUCAAAGGAAUUGGCAUCAAAAAAUAAUAUUGGGAAAGGCUAUUUUGUAAAAUGUGAGAUUUGAACUGAGAUCUGAAGGAAGUAACAAAUCUAGGAAAUGGAUAAGAAGAGAAAGAUUAUUCCAGGUAUGGAGGACAACCAGCAAAAGCCAUGAAUUUGGAGUAUGGAGAUAGUGUCACAUGCAAGGAACAACAAAGAGUUUAUGACUACUAAUCAUAGAGAGCAUGGAGGAAAAUUAGCUAUUAAGAGAUGUUUUUGUUUUUAGACUGGAUCUAAAUAUAAAGAAGACUGGGAAGCUAGGAAGGAACCAGGUUGUGAAUGGCUUUAAAAGCCAAAUAUAAGGUUUUAUAUUUGAUUCUGGAGAUUUUACCGAAUAAAGUGGUGACAUGGAAAAUCAACAUGACAAAUGAGGAUGGACUGGACUGGGGAGAGACAAAACAAGGAGACUAACCAGUAGGCUAUUGCAUUAGUCUAGGCAUGAGGGAAUGAGGGUUUGUAGCUGGGUUGGCAGCAUCAGGGGUAGGGAGUAUAGGAAAAAAUGUUACAAAGGCAGAAAUGAGCAGACUUAAAUGAUUAGAAAUGGGGAAUGAGAGAGUAAGGAAUGAAGAAUUGCACCUUUGAGUCUGUGUAACUGGGAGGAUUGUGGUGCCCUCAAUUGUCAUAGAAGAGUUAGAAAGAAGGUGGGGAUAGGAAGAUAUUGAGCUCAGUUUUGAAAAUUUUGAGCUUAAGAUGUUUGUAGGAUAUCUCAUUCAAGGUGUACAAUAGGCAAUUACUUGAAGAAACUAAAAGUGGAAGUCAAGAGGGAGGUUAGAAAUAGCUAGAUCUGAGAAUCAUAAUAGAAAAUUGAAUACAUGAAAACUGAUGAGAUAACCAAAUGAAAUAGAUUAGAGGGGGGAAAAGAGACAGAACCCUGUGAGAACGCUAAUGCAGCAUAAUUUGGAUGAGGAUCCAGCAAAGAUCUGAUAAAUACACAGGUAAAGAGAACCAAGAGAGAUUAAUGUUCUGAAAAUCAAGAGGGAAGAGAAUAUAAAGGAGAAGAGGGUUACUAACAGGAUCAAAGAAUACAGGGAUAUCAAGAAGAAUGAGAAUCUGGAAAUCUCCAUUAGAUUUGGCAGUUAGAUCAUUUAGAGAGGGCAGUUUCAGUUGAAUGAUGAGGUUGAAAACUAUACUUCAGACACUUUGGAAGAGAGUGGAAGGAAAGUAGAGACAAAUUAUAGAUGGCUUUCUCAGAUUAUCCAUGAAAGGGAAAGAGAGAGAGAAGAAAAUGGCUAGCAGGAAUUGACAGAUAAAGUAAGGGAUGUUAAAGGACAGAGGGAACAUUGAUGUGUUUGUAGGUAAUAGAGGCAGCCAGCUAGUAGACAGAUUGAAAAUUAAUGAGUAGAGAUAAUAGAUGAGGCAGUAUUCUGGAAAAGAAGUGUAUAGAAUGGGAUCAAGAGUGCAUGUUGUGUUAGUCUUGGCAACGAGAAAAGAACUCAUCAUGUGGGACAGCAGUGAAGGAGAUCAGGGGAAGAUAUCUAUCUGACUGAUAGUAGAUGAUGAAGACAGGAGAAGAGGUAGCUCUUACAGAACAGCUUCAAUUUCUUCAGUGAAGUCUGAAGCAAAGUUCUUUUUUUUUAAUUGGUAGAUCAGGCCUUUAAUCUACAUCUCAUGGCUCUAAUUCAAUCAUUCCCCUGAUAUAUUUCAUUACUGAGAUUUUCCUUACUUGAUCAAAUAGGACACUUUCUGCACCUGUCUCUGGGAGAUAUUAAAGACAAAUUCCAGGAUACAUUCUUUCCAGUAUAAGUUUCAAAAUGAAGCAAAGUUGUUAACUGAGAAGGGUAGAAAUAGGAGUGCCAUGGGAGGUUUGAGAGAGAUGGAAAGAUUUGGAAAAGCUGAUGUGGUUAAGUUGGAUGGUUAAUCAACCAUAUUACAUGGCAAGAUUUUGACCUAAUCAGAUAGAACCAUUUAAAAGAGUAAUCUAUUUUGCACAUUGCAAAAAGACAUCUUUCCUCAAAGAGGAAAAAUAAGCCCUCUAUACCAGGGGUCCUCAAACUAUGGCCCACAGGCCAGAUGCAGCCUCCUGAUGAUGUUUCUGCAGCCCGCCGGGUUAUGGCAAAAUCAGACCAGAAGUGACAUUCAACCUAAACUCACAUUAGCAAUGCACACUUCUGGCACUGGGCUGAGGUGGCGGAGAUAGAGUGUGAGGCAACACUGAGGAAAUAAUGAUGUCAAGAAAAAGAAAAAUUGACUCGGAGUGUAGGAUAUUCAAAGAACAGUGGACUUAUGAUUACUUUUUCAUGCAGUACAAGGAAAGAGCUGUAUGUCUGAUAUGCCAGACACUAUAUUCUGUGUUCAAAGAAUAUAAUUUGCAUGGACACUAUGAAACUCAACAUAAAAAUAAAUAUGAUUGUUUGGUUGGAGAAGUGAGAAAAGAUAAAAUAUUAAAACUGAAAAAUACAUUGACAACUCAGCAAAAUACUUUUGUGAAGCAGAAGCAGCUAAAUAUUUCAUCACUGUGAGCAAGUUUUCAAGUUGCCAAGCUAAUAGCCUGUACUGGCAGACCAUUUGUGGAGGGAGAAUUUGUUAAAGAAUGCCUUCUUUCUAUUGCCAAAGAGAUGUGUCCAGAGAAGGCCGAUUUAUUUAGUAUAGUGAGUCUUUCAGGACCUAUAAUUACAUGGAGGAUUGAAGAAAUGGGAGAUAAUCUGCAUCAGCAUUUGCAAAACUCCAUAAAAAAAUUCAUAUUUUUCCUUGGCACUUGACAAAAGCAAUGAUGUUCAUGAUUCUGCACAACUUCUAAUUUUUAUUUGUGGGACAAAUUAUUUUGAAGUCAUAGAAGAGCUUGCUGCACUGCAAAGCAUCAAAGGAAUAACUACAGGAGAAGAUAUCUAUGAAAAGGUUUGCCAAACUAUGAAUGGUUUAGAGCUGGACUGGGCUAAACUAGCCAGCGUGACAACUGAUGGUGCUCCUAGCACGGUGGGGUCUAAGAAAGGAGUAAUUGCUCACAUUACCCAAGAGAUGGACAAACAACCAUUCUCAUCCAGUAGCCAUACACUGCCUCAUCUACCAACAAGCGCUGUGUAGUAAAUCACUGAAGUGGGACUCUGUUGUGAAAAUUGUGGUAUCUUGUGUUAACUUCAUUAGAGCUAAUGCACUAAAUCACAGACAAUUUCAGGAAUUUCUGUCUGAGCUAAAUGUUGAGUAUGAAGAUGUUCUAUAUCACAAAGAAGUCCAUUGCCUGAGUCAAGGGAGAGUUUUGAAACGCUUGUAUGAUUUAGUUCCACAAAUUACAACUUUUCUGCUUUCAAAAAAUAAAGAAGUACCAGAGCCAUGAUGCAGAAUGGAAAUGGCACCUUGCCUUUCUGACAGAUGUAACAGAACUACUCAAUAAUUUCAAUAUCAACUUCAAGAAAAGGGGAAGCUCAUCUGUGAUAUGCAAUCACAUGUCAAAGCAUCUGAAGUAAAAUAAGGCCUCCUCAUCAAACAAGGGAAGGAGGAAAACUUCUGCCAUCUCCCCAGAACUCAAAAUCUGUUAGCAUAAAAACAGCUGAUUGCAUUCCCGAACAAAACAUGUGUGAAUUCACUGGAAAAAUUGCAAAAGGAGUUCCAAUUUAGAUUUAAAAAGCUUCAUCUCCAUGAACAGGACAUACAGCUUUUCUGUAACCAUUUUCUAUUGACAAUGAAAAUGUGGAUACAAUUUACCAAACGGAACUGGCUGAACUGCAGAAUUGUGACUCUCUGAAAGACACAUUCAAGUCAAGCAGCCUUCAUAAUUUCUAUGCAUCUCUCCCCUCUGAGAUAUAUAUCCUCAUUUUAGGAACCAUGCACUCAAAAUGGCAACCAUCUUUGGCAGCACUUAUGUCUGUAAACAGACAUUUUCUAGAAUGAAACAUUUGAAAUCUCCAACCAGAUCAAGACUAACGGAUGCACACUUGUAUCACUUGUUGCGACCAGCAGUGACAAAUAUGGAACCAGACAAUGACAUCUCAUUAGCCAAAAGCAAGCCCAUAGUUCCCAUUGAAAUACUGAAUUAUCAUGCUGCACAAGAAAAAUCAGAUCAAAAAGGAAAAUAAUAAGAAAAAAAGCAAGCAAACAACAAAAAGGUGAAAAUGCUAUGUUGUGAGCCAUAUUCAGUCCCCACAAUCCUCUCUCUGGAUGCAGACAGCUCUCUCCAUUACACGUAUAUUGGAACUGGCCUGAAUCAUCUCAUUGCUGAAGAGAGCCACGUCCAUCAAAAUUGAUCAUCACAUAAUCUUGUUCCUGUGUACAGUGAUCUCCUGGUUCUGCUCACUUCACUUGGCAUCAGUUCACAGAGGGAGGAGAAUAGAAGAGGAUGAUGAGGAGGAGGAAACAGAAUACAAAACUUCCCAGGACCAUUGGCCACAGAGCACCAUCAUCCUAGGACAUCUGGACUAUGGAUCCAAAUGAAAAUGAAGAAGGGGAAACAUCAUGGAAUCACUGAACAUUCUGUACUUACACAUACUUUAAGCAAGUUGAGUGUUUAUAGAAUUUACAAGGACAGUGAUUUUAAUUCAAUCCCCUUCAUUUCAGUUCAGAUUUGUAAAAAACAGAAUUUUCAUUUUCAGAGUAAAAAAGCCUAUCCCUUGGCUCCAGUUGUCCCACCUAUAAAAUGAAAGGACUGGUCCAGAUUAUUUCAAAUGGCACUUCCAACCCACUCUCUAUUAUCUAGGAUGGUUGAUGGUUAAGAAUCAUGUGCUAAUUGGUCAUCUGGAAAGACUGGGUCAUAUGGAAAUCUAAAAAUAUUUGUUUUGUCAUCAGUAUUAGCAGAUGAACAACUGUUUGCCUGUUUGUUUUUUUUUUUUUUUUCCUGCAUGUUUUCCUCCCUUGCCUUUUUUCUUUGCUCCUCAUCUUCCUAAUAAGUAUUCUUUGAAAUUUCUGGGAUCCUUCACUAGAAAAAAAAAUCAUUAUUGUAAAUUCCCGGGACUUCAAUAGUCCUUGUUUAAACCUCUGAUCUCUGUCUUCCCAAAGAUCUUAAAUCUUAACAAGUUUGAGCAAAGAAGAAAGGGAAUGAAUUAAGCACAAAUUUUUUUUUUAAAGGGGAGGUAGGGAAACACACAAAGAGUCUGUCAUCCUCAAAGUUCCAGGUGAAUCAGUCUGGGACAAAACAGGUAUAAAAAUUCUGAACCUGGUCAUCUGAUCCCACACUCCCUGAAUAGAGUCAUUCUAAACAGAAACAAGUCAGGGGAGGGGAGGGUGUCUAAUACUAUACUCUAUUUGGUUGCUUAACCAUGGAGCUCUAGAUGGAGAAGGAAGGCACUGCCACCUACAGGUCUGAAAAGGAACAAGGCAAUAAAUUAUAACAGUGGGGGGUGGGGAGGGGUCCUAUUAACAUAAAAGUGUCAUUGACUUUAAAAAUUCAAAGUUUAUUUAGUUUAUCCUCCUGCCUUCAGGCAUAUCUAUGCCUAAACUAGCCAAAGUCUUGUGCUCAAAUUAUAGAAACUUAAGGCUUUGAACAAAUUGAAUCAAUCAGAUUAGCUAAGAAGGCAAACACUAAAUAUGAAUUAUUUGGGUGGUAGAUGGGUAAGGCUGUAAGGUCAUCUGAUAGCCUUUCCUUGUCCAGUGAAAAUAAUAAGAAUAGAUGACAUUUUUAUAAAAUAUUUCACCCAAAUUAUCUCCUGUAAUCCUAACAACCUAGAAGGUAGGUACUAUACAUUAUUAUUAACCUGGAAUCCAUAAAUGUUGAUCGUCCAUGAACUUGGAACUUUAAAUAUUUUGAUAACUAUAUUUCAACAUAAUUAGUUUCCUUUGAAAUCCUAUAUAUUUCAUUUUAUGCAUAUAAAACAUCAUUUUAAACUAAGCUCUUUAAUAAGUCUCAAGGAAAUCUGAUUCUUAGGGAAAAAAAGUGACUCAGUGAUCAUGGAGAUACUGAGAAUUGGAAGAGGGGUUCAAAUCCUGAUUUCUCCUAAUUCUAAAUCAAGCACUGUUCUCAAUAUAUUAUAUGCCUUUCACAUAGUUUGGGGAUUAGUAAUCCACUGAAGUCCCAUUCUUCACCCCUCAGAAGUGAGUGGCUUAGCAGAAUGACGAAGUUGGUUCUCCACUAGAGAAAAGAAGGCUAACUGUGGCCCUACACACAUUCAAUAAUUCCUGACUACAUAAUAGAAUCAUAUAAGAUGAAGUUAAAAGAGAUGUUUAAGAUCAUCUAGUUCAGGGAUUUUUAACCUGGGUUCCAUAGAUUUUGAUAGUCCCUAAAAUUGAAUUUUGAUAACUAUGUUUCAAUAUAAUUUCCUUUUGAAUCCUAUAUAUAUUUUGUUGCAUAUAUAUGCAUAUAUAUAUGUGUAUAUACAUAUGUAUACACACACACACAUUAUAAACACCAUUUUAAUGUAAGAUCUUUAACAGGUCUCAGUUGAGACCUAGGUAAGAAAGAAAUGAGUAAAAGAAUGGCCUUUUUCAAAGAAUUGGAAAUUGAGAGGGUGCUCAUCCGUUAAGGAAUAGCUGAACAAAUAAAUGAAUAUAAUGAAAUACUGUUGUGCUAUAAGAAAUGGUGAGCAGGCAUAUUUCAGAAAAAUCUGGAAAGACUUACAUGAAUGAAGUGAGCACAACCAGGAAUAACAGCAACAAUCUGAUGAUCAACUCUGACUUAGUUUUUCUCAGCAAUACAAUAAUCUAUGACAAUUCAAAAAGACUCAUCAUGGAAAAUGCUAUCCACAUCUAGAGAAAGAACUAUGGAAUCUGAAUGCAGAUCGAAGCAUUGUAUUACCUUUUUUGUUUUUCUCAUGGUUUUUC